rnacentral:misc_RNA from 1 species
AAUGUCUUUAUUUGAUGUAUUUGUACUUACUAUAUAGUUGAGUAUCUUUGUUUUAUUUGUAUCUACCAAUAUAUAGUCAUCUUACAAACUUUACAAAUUUUUCAAAAAAAUUUGCAUUGCACUAGGUUGUUAUGUUACGUUACGGCCGUUACAAGCCUGUUUCAGUUACCUGAGACCAUGAUUUAAAACAUGGUCCUCAAUGAUUGGAAUUCAACCUUUAGCCUAUUGAGGAAAUAAUGAUGUGAACAAAACCAAAUAGUUUGUUUUACUAUAUCGUUGAAUUGUACCCUAAUAGGCUAACAUUUUUUGCUCUAAACAAAUAAACUUUUAUGUAGGGGAAAGCAUUCGGUCGGUUCGACUCCGAACCAAAACGAUUAAGAAAAACCAAAGAACCGAAUCACUAAUAAAUGUGGACUGAACCAAACCAAACUUUAAAGAAUAACUGAACCAAACCGAACCGACAAACAGCGGUUCGGUUCGAUUCGAUUCCUAAAAACCAAAAUUAAAAAAAAGCAUAAAAAUCAAUUCACAGUGAAGUAAAUAUCAAGCUUCCAUCCAAAAUCUUUAACACCCACAUUACAAUAUGCAACAAGAAAUCCUAGAUUUCAAUAUGCAAUAACAAAUCGCAGAACAAAACCGCACAUUGACAAAUUGCCAAAUCCAACCAUGGAAUAAAACAAAUCAAAACUCAAUCAUAAAAUGCAAAAUGUAAGAACAAAUCAAAGUUACAAUCAAUGAAAACCCAAAUUACAGGAACAAAACCCAAAUGAGACGGCGAUGAGUCGAUGACUUGGCAAUUGAAAACUUAGACAUGCAGCAGUGAGGUGACUGCCAAAUCAACAACAUCAACAUGAGAUUGAGGAGUUACUACCUUCAUCAUUGCAGUCCCUUGCUUCCAUCUUUUUUAAGUAGUAAAAAUCCAAGUUGAAUAAAAGAGGAAUUGAAAAAGAAAAAUGGGCAUAGGAGAAUGGUGUGAGGGGACUAGGAAGUAGGCACCUUUUCGGCAUGAGAGCACUGGGCACCACUCACUAGAUAAAAGAGAAGAUGAAUUGAAGAAGAAGAAGAAGAAG